rnacentral:rRNA from 1 species
CUAUGGCCAUACCACCCUGAACGCGCCCAAUCUCUUCUGAUCUCGGAAGCUAAUCAGGGUUGAGCCUGGUUAGUACUUAGAUGGGAGAAAGUGCUCCAGGUGGGGCGUGGU